AACAACGGAUCUCUUGGUUCUGGCAUCGAUGAAGAAGCAGCGAAAUGCGAUAAGUAAUGUGAAUUGCAGAAUUCAGUGAAUCAUCGAAUCUUUGAACGCACAUUGCGGCCGAGUAAUCUGCCGGCAUGCCUGUCCGAGCGUCAUUU
rnacentral:rRNA from 1 species